CGCUUUUGGAGAUCUCCGAGGAGGAGAGCCCGCGGCCUCCGGGCAGCCUGCCCUCGGAGGGACGGGUGGGAAUUCACACGGCUAACGAAGAGAUUUUAAGAGUUUUGCGAAGGAGCAGUUCAGAGAGAGGACUCAGGGACGGUGACAAAAUGCAUAUUGAAGGCAGCGUGGGAAGCGGGCAGCUGCACCUCCGUGACACUGUGAGCUGCACGAAGCAGGCAGUGGGGCCAGCGGUGGGUCUGUGUAGGGUCGGCAGAAGACGUGAGGAAGGCACACAGCGCCUGCAGACGGCCUGCUCGGCACAGGGUCUACGCAGCUGGAGCUGAACUGCUGCGUUUAAAAGGUCCCCAGUACCACCUGCAAGGGACUGCAAGGAGUACGAUCUGCUAGGAGGGGAUGGGACUACCCCAAGGCUGGCGUUGGGUGGAUGGGGUGAGGACAAGCCCUCCCUCAUCUCGUCUGCUCAGCGCUGCCCAGCUGCUGGCACCCUGCUGCUCUGCUACCCUUCGGGGCUGCACCAGCAGCGAUAAGCAGAGCUAUGAGCUGCCAGGGAAAUAGUUCGCAUUCCUGGAGCGGGAGCUACAGGAAUGCGCUCACCGGCUGAGCCACCCUAAUUUACUGAGGUACAGCACCAUCCUGACCUGCCAUGGCUAACAGACCAACCAAAGCCUGAGUGAGUCCCUGCUCUGGACCCUGAGGGCUGCAGUGCCCCUCAGUAAAUCCACUGUAAGUUGCGGGCCUGGGUGCGUGUGCUCAGACUUGUAACGCUUCCCAAGCACUCGGGAGAUAGGGUCCAAAUGUUAAGGAAUGCACUGUGAAUCAGGCUGUGACCAAAUUGUUAGAAACCAAAAAAUCCCCUCCUUUUCUAGCAGCUCCCUUGCAAGAACUCUGCUUAGCAACAGGGACAGCUCACAGGCCCUAACAUGGCACACCCCUUCCAGUGAGCUGCAGCCCCUCCAGGGAGGCACGUGUCACCUGGUGCAGCCACCUGAGCCGGAGCUGAGCUGCUGCUAAACACUGGACUCACAGGAGUGAACCCAGGCAGUUGGUGUUUUUAUGAUCAGUGAGUGUGUCUGUGAUUUCUGUGGAGGCAAACAGCAGCACAGAGCAGGGCUGGGGGACGGGGAGCAACAGUAAAUCACUCAGGAGGCCUUCGCUGCCUGCUGAGAUUCUAAGUGAUGGAUAGCACUGAGGCACAAGGGGAAAACAAUCUCAUCUGUCAAACCAGCCUCUCUAUCUAGCCUCUCUGAGCCUUGCUCUGCCGUGGGGAGGCUGAGGGAAGAAACAUCCCCAGGCAGGGCUGUUUUGUGUUCCCUUUGCAGAAAAAUCAGCAGCUGAAAUGUGAACUGUUGAUGGCUACGACCAGAAACAGGUAAGGGCAGCUCUGAGUGCAGGGAUUGCUGUGCUGUGCUGUUUCAGAUGGGUCAGGGGAUGAGGAGCUGAGGGCAGGACAGCCGCAGCAGAUAUUCUGUGCUGAGCAGGUUUCAGCUUGAGCCACCAGUGGCUGACAACAAAAGUAACUGACUCUUAAUGGACUCCAUCAAAACCAAGGAGCUAUGAGGUUAAGCCCACGGCUCAACUAAAGCCUGAACCUCAGUGUGUGAUUGCCCUGGGAAGGAAACUGCUGGCUGCACCGAGGUCCAGGCAAGGGAGAGACAGUGGCACAGCACUGCUCUGAGACCAACUGAGCCAGCCCAGGACUGGAAACUUCCCUCACUCUUUGCAGUGCAGAAACGAAGAACAAAGAGCAGCGUGAGGUUUUGUUUCCCUUAUUUGGCAUCGGCUUGUGGAAAUCCUGAAGUAAAACCUAGAAGAUGUCUGUUGGGGCAGUGCUUGAGCUCAGAGGAAGAGACCUGAAAAGCCACAGAUGUGAGGCCAGGUUCCUCUGACCCCAGGACAGUCACAUGAUGCAGUGACUGUGCGCCACGGAGGGUACCCUCAUAGAUCUAAGCUGCUGCUCCUGAAAGAGCUCCCUGAGUUCUCCCACUGCUUUGCUCAGAAAGGCCAUUUCUUCAGGUUGUUUGCAGUCAGGAGGACGAGGGGCAGCAACACUCAGAUGGGACUCAUUGUUCCGUGAAGUCCAGCAACUUCCAGGUGCAAAGCUGCAAAUUCCCAACUCCUUGAGCUGAUGAGCUGGAUCACAGCAGGUGUUCGACACCUAUUCCUCCUGCCCACUGGCUUCAUUCAGAGCACUGCUGGAAACUGAGCAAGCUUAGCUUCAGCUGUUACCACUUUUGUUUCAAAUGUUAAAACAAUAAGCGUCAGAGUUGGUACUGAACAGCAGAUCUGCAUUUCUUUGACUUGAGAGAAUAAGAAAACGCAACAGCAAGUAGAUGGAUGGCAGCAUAAACCCCACUGCUUUUCCCUGGGAGGAAUCUGUGAUGUUCACAGGCAAAGAGCUGUGGAGAUGGGAAUCAUUCAUCGCCCUCGCACCACUUCCCUCCUCCACAUCCAAGGAUGCGCAGUGCACCAGGUGAAGGCAGGCUCCUACCCAGCACAGUGCAGACCCAGCUCAGGCCUGCCAUUUUUUUCUGCAGACCAAGCUGAGGCCCCUGAGAGCUUUAGGAAACAAACCCUUUGGUGGGACAGAAGUAUUUUGGAAUGGAAGUAUCGACUUUGGAAUAGAAGUGUCUAUUUUCAGCUUUCAAAAACAAAGCAAGGAAAAAUCUGUGACUUCGCUCAGAUCAGGACUUUUUCCAACUUUCUUUUGUAAGGGUCGUGCACACAUUUUUUGCCGCUACGUUUUAUCUGUGAGCUAACAUCUGUGGGAUGUUUUACUGCAGGGCUCGCAGGAGUCCUCACCUCUGGGGAAGCAGCCUUCUUGCUGAGCUGCCGCACUGACACCGCUGACCUUCACAGCCAUGCAAAGUACAUUUCCUUCCUAUGCCAAAGGAUAAAAUCAGCUGUGGGAAGAACAAUGCAUGCACAGACAGCGUGGAAAACCCUGCUGAAGACCUUCAGACACCGAAUGAUGAAGCUGCACUUGGCCUCGCUCCAGGCUCUGUACGCAUGAGCACGCACUGUGAUUAUGAGCUCCUGCGGACAGGAAUCACAGCCAAGCAACUUACAGGCAUUUGUUUUGGGGCCUGACAUGCCAUGGUUUCAGUGAGUGUAAAGCAGCAAGCCUUCCAUCGGAACAAAAACUCGUCUGGAGACGUUUCUAGCUCCAUUUCCCUGCUCUUUAUCAGCGCACUAACACAAACAGCAUGGUGACCUGCUCAACUAGCAUGCAUGGCCUUUAGUAAUCCCAGGCUGGAGGAGCACCACACGCCGACGACAUCCUGCCAUUAGUCAUCAGCUGAGUGUGGCUUUGCAGGGCUGAGUGGAUACAGCCAGUGCAUCCACCCGCUCUUCUGUGCGUGUCCUACAAGGAUCCCUGUGACUAACAGAUGUUUUUGAAUGCUCUUUCACAUGGGAAAAUUGGGAAGAACAUCUUUUUAUUGCACCCUUGCUAUUUCAUCCAGCCACGCGGAUCUCCAGGGAUGGAGACGUACUUAAGAAAAAUAUUCACUUCUGAAAUCUUCUACAAUUUUUUUCACAGUACUUUCUUGGCUUAGCCAGCCAAGCAAUGCAUGCUUGUAUUCUUAUUUUGCAGCAAUUAGUAAGAUUUACUAAUUAUACUGCCGAGUAUUUAAAAACAAUUGAUUUCCCUUUGUAGCAGAAAAUAAUUUCCUGUUACACCAAUUCUCUUAAUUUUCUUCCGGAACAAAACCAGGCCAGCAGUGCCAGUGGUGUCAUGCUGCUGUUAUUAAAUCGCUCUAUUUUCUGCCUUG